GACGAGGUGGCCGAGUGGUUAAGGCGAUGGACUGCUAAUCCAUUGUGCUCUGCACGCGUGGGUUCGAAUCCUACCUUCGUCG
rnacentral:tRNA from 1 species